rnacentral:lncRNA from 1 species
GGGGGUCGCGGUCGGCCCACAGGCUGGGCACUAACGGGUCCCGGGGCGCCGGGGCGGACUGCGGCGGUGAGCGCGGCUGCAGGCCGCGGUCGUAGUGGACUAAUUUUACAGGCGAAGUUAAGUGACUUACCCAAAACCUCACAGCUAAUAAACGGCAGAGCCGGCACCCAGCUGUACUGGCUUCCAGCGCAUCCCAUUAUCUCCAUAAAUCCCCCUGAUUCAACUAAUAUUAGACGCCCCACAGAGUCUCGCUGCUCAAAACGUGGUCAGUGGCCCAGCAGCACUGACAUGAGGACCUUAGUUGGAAACUCAGAAUCUCAGGCUCCACCCCAGACCUGCUGAACCAGCAUCUUCAACUUAACAAGAACCCGAAGAGAUUUGUGCCACAUCAAAAAGUUUGAGAAGCUCUGAUCUAGCUGGACCCUGGACACGGUGACUCUGAUUCAAUUAUGCAGAUGACCACAAGCCUCUGGGGUUGGCAGAGCCACAAGAAAGAAGGUGCCUGGAUGAAGGAGAGCUACCCACUGACCUGGACACCCAAUUAUAGGAUAGACAGUGAAGUGCAACUACAGCCCGCAAAUGAAAAUGAAUAAAAUUAAUCCAGCCCCUCAAGGCAGUCAUCUGUCUUAGAGCUAUUGGAAUCCUGGAUCAUUGUGGGAAAUGAAAAGAACUGGUUUUUAGCAAGGAGACCAAGAAACUCUACUCCCUAGGGGCUAGCAAUGAGAGAAAGGAAGCCUUGAGUCUUUGAGCACAGGGUGACAGUUUGGGUCCUAUGUGAGAUGAUCAAAUCCACAGCAACAGAGGAAAGGACAAAAGGAAAAGAUACUUCGAUGGAAUCAGCAGCCAUUGAUCCAAUGCCAACUCCAAGACUGGAACGUCGCAAUGAUAGUUCCAAGGCGGAAAUUUGACGUAAUUCUUUUCGACACAGUUUUACAGGCAUCUUGCAUGUGAAUAACUCACAACUUUAAUUCAUGGAACAAAUUGAGAAAUAGUCUUUUGGGGGUUUGGUACUCCCUGGAAACAUAAGAGUGCUUUGGGCACCUCUGGUGCCUUUCCAUGCCUGCCUUCUCUGCUGUUCUUGCUACUAGUGAAUUCUAAAUCAUGGCCAAGUGAUGCCAGCACUGGAUAAUAUUGGCUCUGCCCCAUAUCUCGAGGGAAAACUCUGGGACUUGGCAUUAUAUGUGUGGGAAUCUGGCCUUGGUUGGCACUCCCAGCAUGAUAGCAGGGUUCUGCUGUCUGAAUGUACUCUGGGGUGUGCGCCACAAUUUCUGUCAUCGAAAUGGAGAUGAGAGAAUAUGCCCUUGGUGGGGACACCCCACUGGAAUUAGAGUGAAGAGAUCAAAGCUAGAGGUUCUUAAAUCAAAGAAUGUCUAAUAGCAAAGACAAAAACUUGCUUAAGAGAAAUGCAUACAGGUACUAGACCUAAUAUGAUGAAAAAUGCUAACUUCAACAUAUUGAUGCAUGCUUAGUAUACUUUUAGUCCUGCAAAGACAAAAGUUUUUUGUUUGUUUUUUUUUGAGACGGAGUCUCGCUCUGUCGCCCAGGUUGGAGUGCAGUGGUGUGAUCUCGGCUUACUGCAAGCUCUGCCUCCUGGGUUCACACCAUUCUCCUGCCUCAGCCUCCGGAGUAGCUGGGACUACAGGCGCCCGCCACCACGCCCGGCUAAUUUUUUGUAUUUUUAGUAGAGAUGGGGUUUCACCGUGUUAGCCAGGAUGGUCUCGAUCUCCUGACCUCAGGUGAUCCGCCUGCCUUGGCCUCCCAAAGUGCUGGGAUUACAGGCAUGAGCCACCGCACCUGGCCCAGUCCUGCCAAGACAAAGUUUUAAAACACAGGUUGCACAUUGGCAGCUCUCAAGCCAAAUCUGGCCCAUAGACAUGGUUUGCUUGGCCUAUAAUGUUAGUAAUACUUGACCCAAGAUUUAAAAUUUGAAAAGUUUCAUAUAAAAAUAUAGAUUUACAGCUUUUCUAGAAAAACUAUAAGAGUUAACAGUUUCUGAAUUGCAACAGCAGCUGGAACACCGUUGCCACUGACCAUUUAGAUGACUGCUGCAGUCCCCACGGCUCACUCUGGUUCAGGUAGGGGUUCUAGUUUGUAACCCCUGGUUUAAAACAUAACUGACUCUCUAGUUUUUAAAAUUCUCUCAAAAUCAAAUAACCUGAACUAGCAAAUGAUCUAGAUCCUCGUACAUGGAACUCAUACUAAGUUGACCACAGACAGUGGCUCCCAAACUCUGCAGUACAUCAGAGUCACUGGGAAGCUUUAAAAAAUCCUGCUCCCUAGCUGGGUGCAGUGGUUUAUGCCUGUAGCCCCAGCUACUUGAGAGGCUGAGGUGGGAGGAUUGCUCAAGCCCAGGAGUUUGAGGCUGCAGUGAGCCAUGAAUGUACCACUACACUCCAGCCUGGGCAACAGAGCAAGACCCCAACUCUAAAAAAAAAUCCUGCUCCCCAGGUGACAGUAUCUGGGGGAAGGAGUAAGGCAUCUUAUUUUCAAAAGAUCAUAAGAAAAGAGGCUCAUUGCUGAGGCUCACUCCGGAGCCCACUUGGAUUCUUCACAAGAAAGUUUCCCUCUUCCAGAAUUUUAUAAUUGAGGGAACCGACUAGGGAAAGAUUAAUUUGCCCAAGGUCAAACAACUAGUAAAAGAAGUAAGGAUUCCAACCCAGAUCUUUUGACUCUAUUAUCCUUACAUAUAGUUUUAUAGUGAUUUAAAUUGAUACAAGGAUAGGUUUAAAUACAAGUAGAAUGCAGGUUCAUAUAAAACUGAUUUUAUCCUCAUGUUAGAAAACAUAUACACUGUAACAGAGGGAUGACCAUCAAGUGACCAAGAUAUUUUAGUCAAAAGAUGAAUUUUUCUGCAAUUGGAGAAUGCCAAAAAUAUUCAAAGAAAAUAUAAGUCUUGUAGGCAGUCUUCUAUCAAAACCCACUGAACCGCUGGGCACGGUGGCUCAUGCCUGUAAUUCCAGCACUUUGGGAGGCCAAGGCUGGUGGAUCACCUGAGGUCAGGAGUUUGAGACCAGCCUGGCCGACAUGGUCUCUACUAAAAAUACAAAAAAUUAGCUGGGCCUGGUGGCGGCACCUGUAAUCCCAGCUACUGAGGAGGCUGAGGCAGGAGAAUUGUUUGAACCUUGGAGGUAGAGGCUGCAGUGAGCUGAGAUAGCACCACUGCACUCCAGCCUGGGUAACAAGAGUGAAACUCCAUUCAAAAACAAAAAACAAACAAAAAAAAAACAAUGCACCAAAUACUAAGUUAUUAACUAGGAUACUGAUUAUUAAGCAUGUAAAACAUUUUAUGGAACUCAGAGUUUGAUGUAAAUUGCUAUAUUUUAUAAUUCAAACAAACCUUGUUUCAUGUCAUUAUAUUAGAGUAGCAUUAUGAGACAGGAUAUAGUGUAAGCUAUAUCCCCAAUAUAAUUGCAACUGUAUAUUUUAAAGCAUGGGGAAAAUAUGAAAAGAAUUAUGCUCAAAUGUGGGUAGGAUUAUAACUGAUUUGUUUUCUUCAUUUUCAGAUUUUUCUAUAAUGACUAUACAUUAUUUUUAUAGUCAAAAAUAGAAGUAUUUUAAAUGUUUCUAGGUAGAAUAGCAAAUUAGCUGAAAUAGUAUCUCCAACGUUAUUAUCAAGACUAGACUCCUUGGGUAAAUUGGUCAGAACAGUGUUGUUCUCAUUUUACACCUCUCCAAGAUUAACUAUGUUUUAGAUUUGUGUGUGUGUUUGGUUAAAGAGCCAGGAUGAAGAUCCAGAGUUCUUAAACCUGUAUACCACCAUACUACAUUGUCAUUUUAAAGAAAUGUCUAGUAGACUCGGUGGCAUAAACAUGGGCCAUUUACAAACUAGAUGUCUAAUAUCAGAUACCUCAAAUUUGACAGUAGACUUUUUUUCAAAGCUAAAGUGGUCUUAUGUUGACUAUUUUGUUUCUUACUUGAUACUUGUUUACUUUUUAAUUUUUGGCAAGUAAUGUUUCAAGUUAAAGUUUUAGCUAUAUAUAGCAGGCAGUAUUUCAAGUAAAUGAGUUACAUCAGUAAACACCUCUGUAUUACUAAACUGAGAAUCAGAAAAUGUAAUCUCUUUGGCAGGAUUCGUAUGUUUGUAUCACGUCUUUAUCCUCAGGCAACUUUUAUCUUGGAAUACUGAACCAGCAGUCAGAAUAUGAGGGACAUUAGACUGUGUUAUAGUUACUGUUCUGUCCUUAAGUCACUUGCCUUCUCUAAGUGUCAGUUGCCUCAUCUGAAAAUGGAGUUAGCAGACCCCAGCCUAUCCUGAGUUUGAGGGCUAAAGGGAAUUAUUCUUGAAAAUGUCUAUACAUGAUAAAUGUCACAAAUAUAACUUAGCAUUUUUUUUUUGAGACAGAGUUUCGCUCUUGUGGCCCAGGUCGGGGUGCAAUGUCGUGAUCUCAGCUCACUGCAACCUCUGCCUCCCGGGUUCAAGCGAUUCUCCUGCCUCAGCCUCCUGAGUAGCUGGGAUUACAGGCAUGCACCACCACACCUGGCUAAUUUUGUAUUUUUUAAUAGAGACGGGGUUUCACCAUGUUGGUCAGGUUGGUCUCGAACUCCUACCCUCCGGUGAUCCACCCGCCUUGGCCUCCCAAAGUGCUGGGAUUACAGGCAUGAGCCACCGCACCUAGCCAAUUCUACUUCUAUUACAUUUUCAGCAUAUAUCACUUCAUUGCUCCUCCAUAUUAUUUUUCACUGGUCUUCUUACAUCUUGUGUGCCCAUAUUUAAGUAGUUUUCUUUCCAGGUAAAAAAUACAUGUGUGCCUAAAAGAUUUUAAAGUCAACUUUUCAUAAACCAUACCUAAAUUAUCAAAGUUAUUAGAAUUAUUAGAAAGUAUUAGCUAAUUCUUUUAUAAAAUGUAGACUUUAUUAUUUUAGAAAUAUUGAUUCCUCUCUAUUCAGCUAUCUUAAAGAGGGUAUAUUUUAAUCAUCGCAAUAUAUUACCUUCAUAGUAUUUUUUACUUUUGCAAAGUAUAUUUUGUCAUGUUAUUUCAUUUAGGAAUGCACUAAAUCUACAUAUCUACAUAUGAUUAUACAAGGAAACAUCUUUGUCUCAAAAAUGGGUUCUAUUACAUUUUUUAAUUUCCAGGGGUCAUGAUAUAUAAAAAGACCUGAUUUAUCUUAAAAAUACAUACUUUUAUUCUUACCUACCAUACAUCUUUUUUUGUGAUAAUCAGAAGGCUUAAUUUACUAUAAAAUAGGAAAACAACAGCUAUGUUAGAUUAUAUAGUUAAUUUAGGGAUUAAAUGAGUUAAGGUCUACAAGCCCCUGGCACAUGGCAGACAAUCAAUAAUUGAUCAUUUCCUUUGCAUCUAUAAAUUUGUUCAUUCACUUCUCAUGUGGUUCUACCUUAGACAACGAUUUUUGUUUACAGAGACAAAUAGAAGUAUCUAAUCCUAAAUAACCCAAUCAAUUGGUAAAGGCUACACUACAAAGCUGGCAUGACUUCACCAAAUGCUAGAGAAACAGUGUUAAGAGUGACAACACUAAAAGUCUUACACUCUGAUGAUGCUAGUUGCCGCCGAAUUGCUUCCCCUACCAGUUCCUUAAGUUUCUUCUUAUGAUCCCGGCUGGUUUUCUUAUAGAAAUAAAGAUCUUUUUCCAACUGCUGGAUUUUAUCUUCAUAUGUUUUGAAAGUUUCCAUAAUGCCUUCUCCAUCUUGUUCUAUACAACAAAAAUUUGCAUUUAAAAUCAGUUUUAAAUAAAUGAUGCAAAAUUAUGUUUUUGUUUGUUUCUUUGUCUUUUUGAAACGGAGUCUUGCACUGUCGCCCAGGCUAGAGUGCAGUGGCGUGAUAUGCUCGGCUCACUGUAAGCUCCGCCACCCAGGUUCACACCAUUCUCCUGCCUCCGCCUCCCAAGUAGCUGGGACUACAGGUGCCCAGCACCACGCCCGGCUAAUUUUUUUGUAUUUUUAGUAGAGACGAGGUUUCAUCAUGUUAGCCAGGAUGGUCUCGAUCUCCUGACCUCGUGAACUGCC